rnacentral:tRNA from 1 species
CGCCCCCGUAGCUCAGAGGAUAGAGCAGCAGUUUCCUAAACUGCGUGUCAGCCGUUCGAGUCGGCUCGGGGGCGCC